rnacentral:rRNA from 1 species
AAUAGAUACCCCGGUAGUCCACCCCGUAAACGUUGGGAACUAGUUGUGGGGUCCUUUCCACGGAUUCCGUGACGCAGCUAACGCAUUAAGUUCCCCGCCUGGGGAGUACGGCCGCAAGGCUAAAACUCAAAGGAAUUGACGGGGACCCGCACAAGCGGCGGAGCAUGCGGAUUAAUUCGAUGCAACGCGAAGAACCUUACCAAGGCUUGACAUACACCAGAACACCCUGGAAACAGGGGACUCUUUGGACACUGGUGAACAGGUGGUGCAUGGUUGUCGUCAGCUCGUGUCGUGAGAUGUUGGGUUAAGUCCCGCAACGAGCGCAACCCUCGUUCUAUGUUGCCAGCACGUUAUGGUGGGAACUCAUGGGAUACUGCCGGGGUCAACUCGGAGGAAGGUGGGGAUGACGUCAAAUCAUCAUGCCCCUUAUGUCUUGGGCUUCACGCAUGCUACAAUGGCCGGUACAAUGGGCUGCGAUACCGUAAGGUGGAGCGAAUCCCAAAAGCCGGUCCCAGUUCGGAUUGAGGUCUGCAACUCGA